CGGGGUGUGGCCCAGCUUGGUAGGGCGCUUGACUGGGGGUCAAGAGGUCGCAAGUUCAAGUCUUGUCACUCCGA
rnacentral:tRNA from 2 species